rnacentral:tRNA from 1 species
GGGGUUGUGACUCAGCAGUAAAGUACUUGCCUGGCAUGCAUGAGGCCCUGGGUUCAAAUCUCAGCACCA